rnacentral:lncRNA from 1 species
AUAUGUGUUUAAGAAUGGAUCAUUGACGGAUUUGGAGUAACCUUGAGUAGCUUGAACUUGUUCUUGAAUGAAAGAUGAAAAUUGUGUAGUCAUAGGACAUUCACUCACAUGAUGGGCUAGACUAGCACAGAUAGAACAGAUCUCCUGAUAAUUGAGAGGUGGUGUGUAUUGCGUAGGAGAUUGUUGACAUAGAGCUAGAAAUUUAUCUAUAAGAAGGUCGACUUUAUCUAAUUUUUGAGCUAUCAAGUUCAAAUCGAUCUUAGAACUAGAGUCUGAAUGUUUGAUCCCAUAGAAUGAUGGGAACAUUGAUGGGU